rnacentral:misc_RNA from 1 species
AAGUCAUAACAAGGUUUCCGUAGGUGAACCUGCGGAAGGAUCAUUAAUGAUGCCCUCGAAGUCUUUGGACUGGUAGGGUUGUGUCGGUCUCUUCGGAGUCGACCUCAUCUCACACACCGUGAACUGUGGCUUCGGCCAUUUACACAAACUGUUAGUAAUGAAUGUAAUAUCAUAACAAACAUAAAA